GCAUGUUGUUCUGUAACCAAAAAGAUACUUCUGGAGUUUGGCGAGUUUGGUGGAGUGUUGAAAGUGAAAUCCCUUUAGAUUCCAUACAUCUCUUGGUCUUGAAUUCCCAAUAGAUUCAUUUCUUCUACAGGUCUCGAAUUUCCAAUAGUUUCCAUUCUUCUACAGAUUUUGCCAUCCCCUUAGAUACCAUACUCCUCCAGGUCUCGAAAUCCUUUUAGCUUCCAUUCUUCUCCAGGUUUUGAAAUCUCUUUACAUUCCAUUCUUCUCCAGGUCUCAAAUUCCCUCUACAUUCCAUUCUUCUCCAGGUCUCAAAUUCCAUUUCCAUUCCAUUCUUCUCCAGGUCUCCAAUUCCCUCUACAUUCCAUUCUUCUCCAGGUCUCCAAUUCCCUCUACAUUCCAUUCUUCUCCAGGUCUCCAGUUCCCUCUACAUUCCAUUCUUCUCCAGGUCUCGAAUUCCCUUUAGAUUCCAUAGUUCUCCAGGUCUCCAAUUCCCUUUAGAUUCCAUUCUUCUCCAGGUCUCAAAUUCCCUCUACAUUACAUUCUUCUCCAGGUCUCCAAUUCCCUUUAGAUUCCAUAGUUCUCCAGGUCUCCAAUUCUCUCUACAGUCCAUAGUUCACCAGGUCUCCAAUUCCCUCUACAUUCCAUUCUUCUCCAGGUCUCCAAUUCCCUUUAGAUUCCGUAGUUCUCCAGGUCUCGAAUUCCCUCUCCAUUCCAUAGUUUUCCAUGAAAAGUGUAAUACUUACACUGUUGACUGCUGCGAGCAGCCGCGUUGAUCUGCCGUCACUUACUGAACUCUGGGUUGAUGAAGCCACUCCGAGUAAGUAAGUAAGUAAUUCCGAUUUGAGAGGGCUUUUAUUUAUUUUUUUAUAGUCACCUGUGAUUACAACACAGCCCUGCCCCCAAAAUGAGCCCAGAAUCAGUCCUGAGUGAGGACUCGAGUAUUCGGACCAACGCACCAAACUGAAGAACCUAAUUCUGG
ensembl:lncRNA